CAGUUGUACCGCCAGGUGCAUGGCUGAUUGGCUACGUUCGGGAUAGAUAACCGCUGAAAGCAUCUAAGCGGGAAGCUUGCUUCAAGAUGAAUUCUCCUGACACCCUUGUGGUGUGAGAGGUUCCCAGCAGAUGACUGGGUUGAUAGGCCGGGUGUGUAAGCACGGACUGACGACGUGUUGAGCUGACCGGUACUAAUAGACCAAAGACUUACAAACACCCCCAACC
rnacentral:rRNA from 1 species